GGCGUGUCCAGUUCCGGGCCCCUCAGGACAGGAGGGACUUGGAGAUCCUGGAGCGGGCCGGGGGUGAUUGAGGGAAUGGAGCGUCUGUCUUGGGAGCAGAGGCUGAGGGAGCUGGGCCUGCGACAGGACAAGGAACAGUGGCCAUGAACUAAAACACUACAAGUUUCACCUCAACACAAGGAAGAACUUCUUUACGUUGAGGGUGGCAGAACACUGGAACAGAUUGUCUAGAGAAGGUGUGGAAUCUCCUCACUGGUGACAUUCCAGAAAAUCUGGACACGAUCCUGUGCCGUGUGCUCUGGGACGACCCUUCCUGAGCAGGGAGGUGGGACCAGAUGAGCCACUGUGGGCCCUUCCAACCUGACCCGUCCUGGGAUUCUGUAAAUACUUCCUUCCUUUUCAAGCCUUGAAGAUGAACAAUCUACAGAUCAAAUAUCUCCGAUAUCUGCGAUCACUGAAA